rnacentral:rRNA from 1 species
CCUACGGGUGGCAGCAGUGGGGAAUCUUCCGCAAUGGGCGAAAGCCUGACGGAGCAACGCCGCGUGAUCGAAUGAAGGCCUUCGGUUUGUAAAGAUCUGUUGACAGGGACGAAUAAGGAAUGUGACUAGUUUUGAGUCUGACGGUACCUGUUUAGAAAGCUCCGGCUAACUACGUGCCAGCAGCCCCGGUAACACGUAGGGAGCAAGUGUUGUCCGGAAUUACUGGGCGUAAAGGGCGCGUAGGGGGGUGCUGAAGUCAGGUGUGAAAACUCCGGGUUUAACCGGGAGACUGCACUUGAAACUGGGUGUCUUGAGUGCAGGAGAGGAAAGUGGAAUUCCUAGUGUAGCGGUGAAAUGCGUAGAUAUUAGGAGGAACACCAGUGGCGAAGGCGACUUUCUGGACUGUACCUGACGGUGAGGCGCGAAAGCGUGGGUAGCGAACGGGAUUAGAUACCCUGGUAGUC